GCCUCUGUGGAUCAGUGUAGAUCGCCUCGAGAUUGUGCGACGGCAGUUGAGAAAUUAACGAGGAGAUGUGGGUUCGAGUCCCGCCAGAGGCA